rnacentral:ribozyme from 1 species
UGCCCAACUCCUAUCCCUACCUCCUCACGGUACUGGUCGGGGUACGAGUAACCUCAGGGAAGAUCGGGUAGCCAACCCCGGUGGGAACUCUGGUCGUAUGCUGACAGGGACGG